rnacentral:rRNA from 1 species
UACAGAGGGUGCGAGCGUUGUCCGGAAUUACUGGGCGUAAAGGGCGCGUAGGCGGCCCGAUAAGUCGGGGGUGAAAUUCAGCGGCUCAACCGCUGGACUGCCUUCGAGACUGUCAGGCUCGAGCACGGUAGAGGCUGGUGGAAUUCCCGGUGUAGCGGUGGAAUGCGUAGAGAUCGGGAAGAACAUCGGUGGCGAAGGCGGCCAGCUGGGCCGUUGCUGACGCUGAGGCGCGACAGCGUGGGGAGCAAACAGGAUUAGAAACCCCCGUAGUCC